rnacentral:lncRNA from 1 species
AGGAGGAGGAGGAAAGAGAGGCGGCGGCGGCGGCGGCGGCGUCGCAGAGCUGUGCUAGCUCUUCCCGCAACCGCGGAGGGGGCCUCUCGGCGAGGGGCGGAGCCACGGAGGGGGCGGCUCGGCCGGGCCCGGGGGGAGUGGUCUCCAGAUGGCGCGGUCGCGCGCUCCGCGGCGGGGCGGGGAGGAAGGCGGGAGAGGGCUGGGGAGAGACCUGGGAAAGCCUCCGCCCCGCCACGCCCAGGGCCGUACCACUCCUGUGGGGGGGUUGUCGGCUACAACCUCCCCCUUCGCUGGACGCCCUCGCUCCGCUCCGCGGCAUCGGCUCGCUCUGGUCCUCCUAACCCCCCUCUAACUUGCCCAACUCUUGGUCUAGAGGCGAAGUGGUGUUUUGGCUCCAGCCUCCUGCGUAUAUCCUCCCUUCUCGCCAACCUCGGCUUUUAAUAGCAGUGGAGCGGCCCGUCGCCUGGAAAGGGGUUGGUACCCAAUGGAACAGGACUUCACAUGGUGGCCUUUUAUGUGAGCUCUUCUCCCGUUCGAAAAGUAGAAGUCUGGAGAAGAUUGACUCAAGGGAGAAAUGAGUAUUCCCAAGCCUCAGGAAAAAAAGUAAAAUCUGCUUUUAGCAUCUUAUCCCAGUUGGUGGCAUUUCGGCAGCUUCCUGCAGAGGGAACAGCCAUCCCACUUUCCAGACUACCUACCAGCUCGCGCAUGGAAUCAGGUGAGUGUAUAUAAUGCAAACAGAAGAGAUGCUUACAGAGCAGGUGGCAGACAUAAAGAUAAAGGUAUUUCAUUUUUCGAUACCUUGGAGAAAGAUAUUCCAUUUAACUGGUAAACCUCUUCAUUAAAUGUCAAAAUUUAUUUUUAACUUUGAGAAACUGUAUAACAUAAUGGUUAACCAUGUGAACCUGAGGAAGACUGGUUUUGCAUCCUCACUCCAC